ACGGUUCCCGCAGGUGCCAACAACACAGGGCCCACGCCUGCCACCCCAACGGCUCCUACAGAUCUUUGCCAAGUUGACUCCUGUGACGGUGGCUCUUACUGUGUUAAUCUGAAUAGUACACAUGUGUGCCUGUGUAUAGAUGGGUUUUACUAUAAUUCUUCCAUCUGCAAAAAAGGAAAGGUAUUCCCUGGAAUAAUUCAAGUAAAAACACCAGACACAAAUCACCUGGAUAAUAAAACGUCCAUAAACUAUGAAAAGUUAUAUAAGGAAGUUAUCAAAUUUUUUGAAGGUGCAUUUAAAAAUCUUGAUUAUGGACAGACUGUAAUUCAGCAAGUAAGGUAAGUUUGCUAUGGACCAGUGAGGUACUUUGGAGUCAAGUGUGCAUUUGCUUAACUUCUCAUCUUCUCUUGAGUUCCCCAUGUAGCACUAUGGCCCUCUGGUGGGGAAGUCACAAGUCAGGGAGAAAUGGUCAGUCUGAUGUCACACUCACCUUGGUAUGUGGAUGGGCAGAGUGUAGCCUGG